GAAAAAAAAAAAGAGAGGCUAUUGAGGGAAUGCCCGUCUAUAGCUCUAAUAGUAUAAGUGAUACCAGGAAGUAGCUUGUCUCCAAGAAAUUCCACAUCAACUGUAAAUAAUAGACUGCUGUGGUAUAAGAUGAAAACACUUCAAGAUGUGCUGUUAUUGCAAAAUAAAACUGGAACGUUCUUACACAAGAUAAAGUGAGCUGAAGAACUGUAGAUAUUGGGACCCGGACAGAAACUGUAAACAAAUCAUUCUCCAGCAGGACUGAUCCUUACCUUCAUAACAUCUGGGCAUUUUUUUAGUUUUUUGCCACAGGGAGCGUAGUAGGCCACUUCUCCCUGCACACGCCCACAGAUAUUCCUGAUGCGGGUCUCUCUUUUCCACCUAGAAAGUAUUGAAUUGGUUCAGAACUGUACCCAUGACACUACUGACAUGCACACACACUGUAAGUAAUCACAAUAAUUUGUCUUGUUCUACCUGCAUAGACCGUCUUAGUGAAGUUGUCAGAUUCACUCACUACAAAAGCCUGGCACAACUCAGACCAGUUAUUCAAAUGAGAUGCAGCAGGCUUGGCCAGCUGUGAAUCACACACUGGAACACUCCAGAGACCUGCGGUCACUGUGUCUGAGUGCCAACAGACUCCAUCAUGGGAGGAAGUACGGAUGGACGGGUGGAGGAUGGGCAGAAGCCAGAAACAGUGGCGCUUUCUUCUUUUCUCCUCUGGACAGCUCUUUUACAGUGACUGGAUCUCUUACCCAUGUUCGAGAGGUCUACGCAGUGCCUGCUCAUCGGUCACUCUUCUUCUCUUUGCUUAAAGUGGAAGAGAACCACCAGUAAUGAGAGCUCAUAAACUCACAAAGAAGGCUGUUUUGAGGGUAUUUUAUCACCUGGGGGUGUGACCACACAUGAUGAGCCUGGGGUGCUGUGAUUGGUCGGAUCCCAAGAUCUUUUCAAAGUUUGCAAAACCUGAGCAGGUUCAUGGAUUUGCAGGUUAAGUGAACUGGAGCUGCUGAUCUUGCCAGUAGAAGGGUCUGCCAAAGGGUUUGGGCUUUUAGUGAGUUUAAGUGGCAUGCUCUCGGUGUGGCUCUCUGUGUCAGUAUCCAUUUCUUCAUCUUUACUAUCCUCAUCAUCAUUAUCAGAGUCAGUGUCCAGGGUACUGCCAGAGCCUACAGAGAAUUAAGGAACUUCCCCCGAAUCAUCAGAGUCUUUGCUGCUGGGAAUGUCAGACUCCAUUUCCCUGAACAUUUUUCCCUGGAGCAGUGAUCCUGCGCUCACCCUGCAGGACUCUCGCUGUGUAGAGGCUUGGUCUGAGGCAGGAGGUCCAGGAUAAGACUGUCUGGCUCCUGUGCUCAGGUUGAUGGGGGUGUUAAAGCAGGGACUGGUGGCUGCUAGUAAAGGCUUAUCUGGGGUUUUAGAGCUGUCAGAUCGAGAUUUGGUAAUAAGUGCCAGGGGUGCAUCCUGCUCAGUACUCUGAACAACUCCAUUAAAAUUAGGGGAGUUCUUCAGCAGGGUGGAGGUGAGAAACAGAUUGGAGUGCUUGGGAUUGGGGGAAUUGAGCUUAGGACUACAUUGAGGUGAUAGUGAGGAGGAUGACGCACUUUUCUUCAGGGAUUUACUUGCUUCUUGGUGGUCCUUUGCCUGCGAGGGGAAACGAUGUACACAACAUUUAAAAACAGAGCAAGUAUGUUAACUAAUUCAUGUUACUUUUAUUAAAUGGAAAUGAUGGAAGCACUGCCAGAAAGAACUUUCUUUUAUUACAAAGUUAAUAGCGUAAUAUAACUACAAAUGUAAUAAAAUAACGACUGUUUCUAUAAGGGAUUACAUUUUGAGAUUAAAUUUUCUUGUGUGCUCCAAAAUACAUAUUUAAUGCUUUGGAAAAAUUUCAAAAUGAUUAUAUGUUGAAUAAUGUUUAUUUUAAAUGGCUUUGUGCCCUUAAGUUUCCAAUUUCCUGGCAAAAAUAAAAAUGUACUGAUCUAAUAAAAUACGUGAAUACAUGAUAUUGUUGUGCAAUGUUCAUUAUUGUAUAAUUAUGAGACCUAAGAUUGCUAAAACGGGCAACUCUGCUGCAACUACAAUGCUCCGUCAUAACGCACUAAGGGUAUCUGUACUCAAAUAAUGUCUAUUUGUACUUAUUCUGGCACAGGAAAAAUUACAAAGUAUAGAAUAUUUUUAGAAUCCACAUUAUAGAAGUAUUUCAACAAUUAGAAUAAUACAGUCACAGGCAGACAAAGAUAUUAACUAACAACAGUAUUUACUGAGUUUCUAGCUAAUUCUAGCCAUUUUCAACAACCCUGUCUUGCGUAAGUUUUCCUGUAUUACUCAACAUAUGUGUACAUUGAAAAGAGUUAUGCUCGAAAUGGAUCCAUUACUCCGUUGAGUACUAGCACAUGCUUGCAAUCACCACCUCAGCAUAGGCCAUAUAAAUGCCACCUUCGUAACACCUUCAUAUCCAAAUAGCUUGCCACAUGGGAGGCAGGUAUGACUGUCCUUGUCUGUGUUUACAGGUCAGUGAAUUCUUAAUAAAAUGCAUUUCCUCAUCCUUUUGGAUUCCUACAUGUUUGUAAUUGGGAAAAUAUCAUUGCCAAGGUUACAAGGAUAGCUAACUAGAAACUAGCAGGCAAUCCUGCUGGCACAAGCAGGCCUACGACCUACCCAUUAUGAAACCUUGGUAUUUAUAUCCUUUCCUUACCACAGUAGUCUGCUCUGGAAUUACCAUGGCUGGAGAUCCACAACCCAUAUAUUUAUUAGACCUACUGGGAAAUUGUAGCUUGGUCACACAAAUGCAAGGAUUGUGGAUCCAGUUCCAGUGUAGUUGUAGAUGGCCCAGUGGGGGAUGAAAUUCCACAUGCGUACAACACCCUGGCCUAGGGUCUUUAAGGGCUAAGCUAAAGGACUUCCUCUCCAUUGCUCAUGGGACUGUGCCACUGAUCUCCAGGUUCUACUCUGCUGCCCUUCUGAGUCAGCUCUAAUCUGGCAAGGAAACUGCUG